GACGAACGCUGGCGGCGUGCUUAACACAUGCAAGUCGAACGAAGUGGCGAACGGGUGCGUACUACGUGAGUAACCUGCCCUCCUCUUUGGGAUAAGCCUUGGAAACGCGGUCUAAUACCGAAUAAAGGGGGAUGGGCUCGCGGCCUAUCAGCUUGUUGGUGGGGUGAUGGCCUACCAACGCGGUGACGGGUAGCCGGCCUGAGAGGGUGACCGGCCACAGUGAGACUGAGGUACGGACGAGGCUCAUGCGGGGGGCAGCAGUAGGGGAAAUUGCACGAUGGGCGAAAGCCUGGGGCAGCGACGCGGCGUGGGGGAUGAAGGGUUUCGGGUUGUAAACAUCUUUCGCUAGCGAACGGGUAGGUGGAGAAGAAGCGCCGGCUAACUACGUGCCAGCAGCCGCGGUAAUAC
rnacentral:rRNA from 1 species